rnacentral:rRNA from 1 species
AGUGAACGCUGGCGGUAGGCCUAACACAUGCAAGCCGAACGGCAGCACAGUAAGAGCUUGCUCUUACGGGUGGCGAGUGGCGGACGGGUGAGGAAUACAUCGGAAUCUACUUUUUCGUGGGGGAUAACGUAGGGAAACUUACGCUAAUACCGCAUACGACCUACGGGUGAAGGCAGGGGAUCUUCGGACCUUGCGCGAUUGAAUGAGCCGAUGUCGGAUUAGCUAGUUGGCGGGGUAAAGGCCCACCAAGGCGACGAUCCGUAGCUGGUCUGAGAGGAUGAUCAGCCACACUGGAACUGAGACACGGUCCAGACUCCUACGGGAGGCAGCAGUGGGGAAUAUUGGACAAUGGGCGCAAGCCUGAUCCAGCCAUACCGCGUGGGUGAAGAAGGCCUUCGGGUUGUAAAGCCCUUUUGUUGGGAAAGAAAAGCAGCAGGUUAAUACCCCGCUGUUCUGACGGUACCCAAAGAAUAAGCACCGGCUAACUUCGUG